rnacentral:rRNA from 1 species
CUGCUGCCUCCCGUAGGAGUCUGGUCCGUGUCUCAGUACCAGUGUGGGGGACCUUCCUCUCAGAACCCCUACGCAUCGUCGCCUCGGUGGGCCGUUACCCCGCCGACUAGCUAAUGCGCCGCAUGGCCAUCCGCAGCCGAUGAAUCUUUAACCGCCGAGGGAUGCCCCUCUGCGGUGUUACGCGGUAUUAGACGGAAUUUCUUCCGCUUAUCCCCCUGCUGCGGGCAGGUUCCAUACGUGUUACUCACCCGUGCGCCGGUCGCCGG